GAUGAACGCUGGCGGCGUGCCUAAUACAUGCAAGUCGAGCGAACGGACGAGAAGCUUGCUUCUCUGAUGUUAGCGGCGGACGGGUGAGUAACACGUGGAUAACCUACCUAUAAGACUGGGAUAACUUCGGGAAACCGGAGCUAAUACCGGAUAAUAUUUUGAACCGCAUGGUUCAAAAGUGAAAGACGGUCUUGCUGUCACUUAUAGAUGGAUCCGCGCUGCAUUAGCUAGUUGGUAAGGUAACGGCUUACCAAGGCAACGAUGCAUAGCCGACCUGAGAGGGGGAUCGGCGACAAUGGAACUGGGACACGGUCCAGACUACUACGGGAGGCAGCAGUAGGGAAGCUUCCGCAAUGGGCGAAAGCAUGACGGAGCAACGCCGCGUGAGUGAUGAAGGUCUUCGGAUCGUAAAACUCUGUUAUUAGGGAAGAACAUAUGUGUAAGUAACUGUGCACAUCUUGACGGUACCUAAUCAGAAAGCCACGGCUAACUACGUG
rnacentral:rRNA from 1 species